UACAGGGGGUGCAAACGUUGCUCGGAAUCAUUGGGCGUAAAGCGCACGUAGGCGGUUCGUUAUGUCGGAUGUGAAAGCCCUUGGCUUAACCGAGGAAGUGCAUCCGAAACUGGCGAGCUAGAGUACUAAAGAGGAUCGCGGAAUUCCUGGUGUAGCGGUGAAAUGCGCAGAUAUCAGGAGGAACACCGAUGGCGAAGGCAGGUCUCUGGGCCGAUACUGACGCUGAGGAGCGAAAGCGUGGGGAGCGAACAGG
rnacentral:rRNA from 1 species